rnacentral:rRNA from 1 species
UGAGAUGUUGGGUUAAGUCCCGCAACGAGCGCAACCCUUGAUCUUAGUUGCCAGCAUUUAGUUGGGCACUCUAAGGUGACUGCCGGUGACAAACCGGAGGAAGGUGGGGAUGACGUCAAAUCAUCAUGCCCCUUAUGACCUGGGCUACACACGUGCUACAAUGGACAGAACAAAGGGCUGCGAGACCGCAAGGUUUAGCCAAUCCCAUAAAUCUGUUCUCAGUUCGGAUCGCAGUCUGCAACUC